rnacentral:rRNA from 1 species
UACGUAGGGUGCGAGCGUUGUCCGGAUUUAUUGGGCGUAAAGCGCGCGCAGGCGGUUGUCUAAGUCUGCUGUGAAAUCUCCCGGCUCAACUGGGAGGGGGCGGCGGAGACUGGGCGACUGGAGGGACCUAGAGGCCGGUGGAAUUCCCGGUGUAGUGGUGAAAUGCGUAGAGAUCGGGAGGAAUACCUGUGGCGAAGGCGGCCGGCUGGGGGUACCCUGACGCUGAGGCGCGACAGCGUGGGGAGCGAACCGG